rnacentral:lncRNA from 1 species
GAUAAAUCGAGGAUCUCAAUCAGAUACAAUGGAUGAGGGAACACUAUGAAGUCGAAUAAUCUCAUCAAUAUAAAAGCGAGCUAAUUUGUUAGUGGAGUCAGUUGUCCUGAUAGGUAAGAAAUUGUCAGUCUUGGUUAGCCUGUCAAUGAUGACCCAAAUAAUGUUCCGACCAGAAUAAGUCUUAGGCAAUCUAUGACAAAAUUCAUAGUUACAUGCUCCCACUUUAUUUUAGAAUCGAGAGGCCUUAUAACAAACCGUCGGAUCUCUGAUGUUUUGCCUUAAUCCUCUGGCAAGUGAGGCAUUGGGAGACAUAAUCGACUAUGUCCUUCUUUAUUCCCUGCCACCAGUAUUGACACUUCAAGUUUCGGUACAUCUUGGUACUCUCGGGAUGGAUGGAUAGCUUAAAAGCGUGAUUAACCUUGAGAACAUCCGCCCUUACAGCAACGGGGAACCAAAUUCAGUUCCAAAAUCUAAAAAGUCCAUCAUUUGAAAUCUUAAAAUCAGGAGAUUCGUCAGAAGAGAAGUUACCUAGAUUCUUGGUGAGUUCCGGGUUUGUAGACUGAGCUUCCAAGAUUUUUAUGAAGAGAUCCGACAGGGCUCGGAUUUUGGCAAGAUAUGUGUAUUUACCAUAAUAGGUAAGGCAGAGAGUUUGCCUAGUAUCCAUCAAUUUUUAACUUGAGGCCAUAGU